rnacentral:rRNA from 1 species
AGUGAACGCUGGCGGUAGGCCUAACACAUGCAAGUCGAACGGCAGCACAAGAGAGCUUGCUCUCUGAUUUAGCGGCGGACGGGUGAGUAAUGCCUAGGAAUCUGCCUGGUAGUGGGGGAUAACGUUCCGAAAGGAACGCUAAUACUGCAUACGUCCUACGGGAGAAAGCAGGGGACCUUCGGGCCUUGCGCUAUCAGAUGAGCCUAGGUCGGAUUAGCUAGUUGGUGAGGUAAUGGCUCACCAAGGCGACGAUCCGUAACUGGUCUGAGAGGAUGAUCAGUCACACUGGAACUGAGACACGGUCCAGACUCCUACGGGAGGCAGCAGUGGGGAAUAUUGGACAAUGGGCGAAAGCCUGAUCCAGCCAUGCCGCGUGUGUGAAGAAGGUCUUCGGAUUGUAAAGCACUUUAAGUUGGGAGGAAGGGCAGUAAGUUAAUACCUUGCUGUUUUGACGUUACCGACAGAAUAAGCACCGGCUAACUUCGUGCCAGCCGCCGCCGUAAGAC